GUACUCCAUCAGUAGCAUACAGACUGAAACUGGAAUGAUACAGAGAUUAGCAUAGCUCCUGUGUAAGAAUGAUACACAAAUUCAUGAAAUUCAGGCAGGUGCU
rnacentral:snRNA from 1 species